rnacentral:rRNA from 1 species
GAGUUUGAUCGUGGCUCAGAUUGAACGCUGGCGGCAUGCCUUACACAUGCAAGUCGAACGGCAGCACGGGAGCUUGCUCCUGGUGGCGAGUGGCGAACGGGUGAGUAAUGCAUCGGAACGUAUCCUGGAGUGGGGGGAUAACGUAGCGAAAGUUACGCUAAUACCGCAUAUUCUGUGAGCAGGAAAGCGGGGGACCUUCGGGCCUCGCGCUGUUGGAGCGGCCGAUGUCGGAUUAGCUAGUUGGUGAGGUAAAGGCUCACCAAGGCGACGAUCCGUAGCAGGUCUGAGAGGAUGAUCUGCCACACUGGAACUGAGACACGGUCCAGACUCCUACGGGAGGCAGCAGUGGGGAAUUUUGGACAAUGGGGGCAACCCUGAUCCAGCCAUGCCGCGUGAGUGAAGAAGGCC